CGGGUUAGCUAGCCAUGAAAGAACACAUACUGGAGAAAAACCUUAUGAAUGUGAUGUUUCCAAAAAAAGAUUUUUGCAUCAAAGUAGUUUUGCUAAACACAAAAGAACACAUACUGGAGACAGACCUUAUGAAUAUCACAUUUGGAACACAAAAUUUUCAGAAUCACACAGUUUAACACGACAUAAAAUAUCAGCACACAUGGUAAAGCAGUGUUUUGAAUGCGCUACAUGUAAGAAAAUAUUCACACAACCUAAAAGUCUCAAAGGUCACUGGAGAGUACAUUCAAGAGAUGGCUUAUUAUUCUGCAACAGUUGUGGCAGAGAAAUUAUUCAGUUGCAAGGUUAAGGACAUGCUAAUGAGAUACAGAAGAGUGAUGAUCAUUUUGUCUGUGACAAAUGCAACAAAAAGUACCCUGAUAUUGUAAGUUUAUAUCAACACAAGGCCGGAGACCAUGGUACGUCCUACCAAUGUGAUGUCUGUAAGGAAUUAGAAGCAAGAGAAGCAACUGGUAUUGGUUAUAUCUGUUGUGUCUGUGAUGCCGAGUUUGAAAUUGCCACUAAACUUGAAUAUCAUAUUAUUAUGCAUGACAAUGUGGUGCCCCACUAGCAAGGCAAGAUAAAUUGAAACUAUUUUGGGUUUUACUAGGCUGAUGCGAUAUGAAAAAGUCAAUAUAUUGAUAUCGAACAAAAAUAUCGACUAUAUCGAAUUAUGAAGAAGUUGGAAAACGUAGUUCAGUCAGCCUGCAUGUAUACCACGUCACACCACUGGGUGGGGCCUGGGUACAAGGUUGCACUGGGUGGAUGGAUUAUAAAUAGCCUAUUAUAAUAAUAACCCAUGGUAUUUCAUGUAACCGAAAAUUUGUAUUAUUAUUUUGUGCAGUUGGUUUUGAAAAUAAAAAUGU